GACGAACGCUGGCGGCGUGCUUAAUACAUGCAAGUCGAACGGAAAGGCCCGGCUUUUGUGGGGUGCUCGAGUGGCGAACGGGUGAGUAACACGUGAGUAACCUGCCCUUUACUGUGGGAUAACUUCAGGAAACUGGGGCGAAUACCGGAUAUGAGCUCCUGCUGCAUGGUGGGGGUUGGAAAGUGUCGGCGGUUGGGGAUGGACUCGCGGGUUAUCAGCUUGUUGGUGAGGUAGUGGGUUACCAAGGCUUUGACGGGUAGCCGGACUGGGAGGGUGACCGGGCACAUUGGGACUGAGAUACGGCCCAGACUGCUACGGGAGGCAGCAGUGGGGGAUAGUGCGCAAUGGGCGGAAGGCUGAUGGAGGAAUGCCGCGUGCGGGAUGACGGCCUUCGGGUUGUAACCCGCUUUCGAGUGUAAAGAAGCGUGAGUGACGGUAAUGGGUAAAGAAGCAACGGCUAACUACGUG
rnacentral:rRNA from 1 species